UUAUCUUCUUCUCUGCUCACCAAUCCUCAAAAGAACAACAACCCAAAAAAAAAAAUAAACAGAGAGAUACAGAAAGAGAGACCGGUAGGAUUGACGACAAAAAUGAGGUCACGCCGGCGAGAGUAGGAAGACCCACUUCUGGAAACAGACCGCUCAACAAAGAGAUCAAGGGCUUUGAGAUUCUGGUGUUCGCCCAAUACAGAGAAAGAGGAGAGCCGAAAGAAAAGGAGAAGAGAACGGGGAAGAAGGAAGUGAAGGAGAAGAGACAGACCGGAAGCUCUUGCUUAAAACAAGACAACUGGAAGGAAACAAAGAGGCAAGAAGCAGCCAACAUGGAGGAUAUUUUCCUUGAAGUAACUGCAUGCAACAAACAACUUCAAUUAUGACAACAAAUUUGGGGAAAGGAGGAUUUGAAAGUGUUUAUUGUUUUGGGAUGGAUCACAAUCUUUAUAAGAGAUCAACCACUCAGAUACAAAAGAAAAUACGGCAAAUCAGAUUGUGUGCGUUUUGGAAAAGUCCAGGUUUUUAAACUCCUACAGGCAAGGGUUUGAGAGUUUUAAGGAUUUUGCCACAAGUGGACACUGCUGUGAAGAAGAAGGUUGAGGAGAUACUGCCCAUUGCCACCAGCCAGUAGCUAGAGGAGCCUGCAGCUGAAGUUGAGUUAGGUGGUAAUAAUUAGACGGUUUCUGGAGUUGAUGGUCGAAUUUCUUCCCUCUUUGUCUCCAAGCAUGAGGUCAGAAAAAUGUUCACAGCUGAUUUUUAUUAGAAAUUCUGACUUCAAUUUGAAAAGGCCACCUGAUUGAACCAUGAAGCAUCAAAUAUUUGUUGCACAGCUAAAACAGAAAGCUGAUUGUCCAGAGGGAUACAAAUUCUAUCACAGAACAAUUUGUGGUAAUGGAAAUCAAAGGCUUGGAGGAAUCAGAUGAUAUGGAAGUACUUUCUAGAGCAGUGAACAGUUUGUGUCUCUUCACAAAAAAACUAUUGCAAUUGAUGUAAUAUAUAGUAUUUUAUUAGUUUGAUCAAUAAUAAAGUCAUUUUCAAUUA